AGUCAACAAUUAUAGUUGUUUUUUGGCAUAAUGCUGCCAACGACUUUUCAACCCUAUUGAUGAAUUAUUGACCUUUUUCUACCGACUAUGUAACUAACAAAUCCAGAUCACACAUAAUCUGAUUGCUUCUCUCUGUUUCCACUAAAUCAGUGUUUUUUUUUUCCUCUCAUAUACUCGAUUCUUUUUAUAAGAGACCGUUCAAUUUUUUAGGUUUAUUAAAUAAAUAAUAUAUCUAAUCUAUGUUAUAAACUGGAUAGAUACUUUAUUCAACUAAUCUUAAAAGAUCAACUAUCUCAUAUAAAAUGACCCGAAGGAGUACAUAAUUUAAAUUUAUAACAGAAAGAACAAAGAUAAAGCACAAUUUAAUUAUGUUUAAUAUUAGCAAAUUAUCAAAUAUACAAGACACUUACACAAGGAAUAAUUUUUUUGGAAAUGGAACUAUUGAAUAAUAACACUGAAAAACAUGAACUUCACUGACUCAUAGAGCAUAAAACAAAACUACUACACAGGAAACUCACGAGCCAACUGAAAAGAAUCCCCUGAUGUUGGAUUCACAAGAUGUUUCCUAGGACCACCACGAUGGCUUCCAUGAUUCAUCCAUGACUUCCUUUUCGAACUCAUUCGCGGUUCGCGAGCUCGAUCCUCUCUUGUUACUUUGACCAUAGGUACUGUCACUGUGUUUCUUGAGUGAACUAUAGAUAUCAAAGNNN
rnacentral:lncRNA from 1 species